AACAAACGCUGGCGGCGUGCCUAAUACAUGCAAGUCGAACGGGGAAAGCUUUCGGGUGAGUACUAGUGGCGCACGGGUGAGGAACGCAUGGAUAAUCUGCCUUAGAGUGGGGGAUAACUAGUCGAAAGAUUAGCUAAUACCGCAUAAGACCACAGGAGCUGCGGCUCAAGGGGUCAAAGGUUUUUCGCUCUAAGAUGAGUCCGCGUAAGAUUAGCUAGUUGGUGAGGUAACGGCUCACCAAGGCGACGAUCUUUAACUGGUCUGAGAGGAUGCUCAGUCACACUGGAACUGAGACACGGUCCAGACUCCUACGGGAGGCAGCAGUAGGGAAUAUUGCACAAUGGAGGAAACUCUGAUGCAGCGACGCCGCGUGAGUGAUGAAGGCCUUCGGGUCGUAAAGCUCUGUCGCAGGGGAAUAACACAAUGAAGGUACCCUGUAAGAAAGGAUCGGCUAACUUCGUGCCAGCCGCCGCGGUAAAAC
rnacentral:rRNA from 1 species